rnacentral:lncRNA from 1 species
CCUCAUCUCAUCAUGCUGCCUCUCCUUCCUUCAGGAACAGAAAUGAAGAUCUUGCCUCCCUGGUCUGAGUCUUGGAGUAGAGCUUGGAACCCACAAGUAGAUCGUUUUUGUUGACUGCAUGCUCCAGCACUGGGAAGUUGGUACCUGUGAUACAACAGAGGAGGAAAACACUCCCUGCCCCACCUCAUGAACUGGGGCAUCCAUCUUCACUUGGCUGGUUGGAGAAUGGGACAUAACAGUACACACAAAUUAAGGUGAUAAGUCUCCACACAGGUCAGUCUUGGCACUUCCCUCUCUUGCUCAGUGAAGUAGCAAUAAUCUUCCAGUGCAAAUCCCCAU